UUUUAUGGGUGGGCAAAUAAAGUGGUUUCUUGAGAUGGAAUCUACUCCCGGUGAAGAUGCUAUAAA
rnacentral:pre_miRNA from 3 species